UGGGGAAUAUUGCACAAUGGGCGCAAGCCUGAUGCAGCCAUGCCGCGUGUAUGAAGAAGGCCUUCGGGUUGUAAAGUACUUUCAGCGGGGAGGAAGGGAGUAAAGUUAAUACCUUUGCUCAUUGACGUUACCCGCAGAAGAAGCACCGGCUAACUCCGUGCCAGCAGCCGCGGUAAUACGGAGGGUGCAAGCGUUAAUCGGAAUUACUGGGCGUAAAGCGCACGCAGGCGGUUUGUUAAGUCAGAUGUGAAAUCCCCGGGCUCAACCUGGGAACUGCAUCUGAUACUGGCGAGCUGGAGUCUCGUAGAGGGGGGUAGAAUUCCAGGUGUAGCGGUGAAAUGCGUAGAGAUGUGGAGGAAUACCGGUGGCGAAGGCGGCCCCCUGGACAAAGACUGACGCUCAGGUGCGAAGGCGUGGGGAGCAAACAGG
rnacentral:rRNA from 1 species